AAGACGCGGAGAUCACCUUCCUCUCCACAAAUACAUCAGAAAUACAGCUACAUGUGGAACAACUCCUACAGAACACCUACUGAAUGCUGGCAGAAGACUUCAGACCUCCCAAAAGGCAAGAAACUCCCCACGUACCUGGGUCCACAAGCCCCACGAAGGCCAAUACCUGGGUUGUUUUGUUCACCACAGCCUCGCCAGCCCUGAAUAAAGCUCAGCACAUAAUUUUCCUCAAGAGUGCUGUGGUGGCCCCACUGGAGCAGUGUGCUGGGAGGCACAAGACCCAAAGUACGGGUCCAGCUGUGUGACUGCAGACCAGACGCUUAACCUCCUAAACACAUUAAUGCCAUUUCGCCACUGAAGGAAAGGUGAAUGACUGUGGCCAAUCACUGCUCCUGGUUUUUGUGACUCUGACAUUAUAUGAAAGGAGUUUGGGGAAAUGUAAUGGAAUAAAAGGGCCUCAGUUGAAUACAUGGCCUCUGCCUCUGGAAGUGCCUGAAACAUCAUAGCACUUCAAUACCUAUUUGCUGAUUGAAUGACUCAUUGACCAUUGCGCAAGAGGGGCUGAUGGUAUCGUAAUUGGAUUGUCAUCUCACAGGAAAAGAGAUGAGGAUCUCCACACACAUAAACCAUCCACUGUGCAGGGAUAUCCUGCAGGAGCCAGAGCCCUUCCUCAUGGAGCUGGACACACAUAUCCCCGGCCCAGGAGUCAGAGACAGGGAAGGAAAAUUCAGGGGGAGAAGAGAGCAAUGACAAGACCAGCUGCUGCUUCACAUCAAAGAGGGGACCAUCCAAGUUUACAUGGAGGAACAGCUGAAUCUUUUGGUGUCCCAGCUGUAAGCAGCUAAUUGUCACCGACUCCUUACCCCAGCAGGCCCGUGCCUGGCAGACUGUUUGCCUCGACUAGAUGGGCACCUGCCCUGUCAUGGUGUCUUCCCUCAGCCAAGCAGACACUUGGCUGUGGGAAAUGUCUUCCUGAGCAAAUGUGGUCUCAGGUAAAGAACAUAACAGGACCAGCCCAGCUCUCAUCCAACUUGGUGCUCAGGCGAUGUGCUCUGUGGGAAUCUGUCACCAUGCACCCUGCAGGGUGAGGGGAAGGAACUCUGUCUCAACUGGUGUGAAAGUACGUGAGUGGGCAGUUGCUGACAUUCCCUGCCCAUCUUUGCUGGGAUAGGCGACCUGGAACCACCUUUGAAAUCAAGAACAGAGACUAAACGGCCUGGCGGGCGUCCAGAAGGCCCCUGAAGAUGCGUGCA